UGGUUGGUGGGACGGACCGACGAGACCAGGGACUUCUUUCAAAAAUAGUCCACUUCAUCGCGGCAGCGGUCAUGGAGGGUGUGAAACAUGGUUCGCCACGGAUAUAAAUAACGGGGCCCGAGGGAGGAUAUCGGCCAAACCAAAGAGGAGGCAACAAAACACGGAAGCGGAUAUUUCAAAAGAGAAGAAACGAGCCAAAGUCAGUGCCACACGUUUCAGUGUUGAUGUCGGUAUUUGGCGACGAAUACCUGUCGAAAAUACCCUCGACGUCCUUUAUUGAGGCUCCUCUGUCCUGUGUGACCCCCUGACACAGAGAGGAUGGUGAUGGAGGAGGGGGGUCAAAGAGACAGAGGGAGGGGGGCUCUAGCGACAGAAGGAGCGGGGGGAAGGCAGAUCUUCGUGGAACUUGGGGAGCGAAACUUUGAUGCCAUUUGUCUUUCUACAUAUCGAACAGCCUGCAAGCUCAGAUUUAUACAGAAGAGAUGCAACUUGCAUCUGAUCGACAUAUACAACGUAAUCGAGGCGGUGCGAGACACUGGUCUGAACGCCGUCGAGCUGAACGCCAACAUCUCCGUGACCAGGCUGGAGAACCUGGUGUCCUCCCUGUUCAACCAGCUCAGCAAGCGCCUGCCCACCACACACACCAUCAACCCGCAAGAGAGCACCGCCCUGUUAGUUGAAUUCAUACUGGCGGCCAUUGACAGUGAACCAGACGACGGGCUGACGGUGCUGUCUGUGAAGGCGAUGCUAGCCAUGCUGUGUGGAGGGAAACUGGUAGAUAAAGUUCGCUAUGUGUUUUCUCAGGUAUCUGACUCCAGCGGUGUGUUGGUACAGUCGAAGUUUGACGAUUUUCUGAGGGAGGCUCUCAAGUUGCCCACCGCUGUACAUGAAGGACCAUCCUUUGGCUACACACACACAUUAGCACGCUCAUGCUUCCCACAACAGAAAAGGGUGAUGCUCAACAUGUUCCUGGACAUCACAGCCAACCCUCCUCAGUGUCUCGUCUGGUUGCCUCUCAUGCACCGCCUGGCCAAUGUGGAGCAUGUGUAUCAUCCUGUGUCAUGCUCCUAUUGUCGUGGCAACGGCAUGACCGGCUUCCGCUAUCGCUGCCUUCGUUGUCGUGGUUACCAGCUCUGUCAGAACUGCUUCUGGCGCGGCAAUGUCAGCGGCGCACAUAGCAGCCAGCAUCAGAUGAAAGAGCACUCGUCCUGGAAGUCGCCGGCGACAAAGCUGGGCCGAGCCCUGAGCAGGACUCUGGGCUGUGUGUCAUCCAGAGAGCCCCCCCGGCCAAUUUAUCCAGAGGAACCUGAGAGGACGCUUAACCUCGCCAACAUAGUCCCCUCUCGACCUGUUGGGAACACCAGUGAGGCCAUGUUGCUGUCCUCAUCAGCACCAGAGUCCGCCAAGAGUUUGGCAGCGGCUCAGCGUAUGAACGAGGAACACGCUCUGAUCGCUGCGUAUGUGAAUCGCCUCCAGAACAGCCCGCGUUUGGACACUCCCAGCAGGCAAGACGAGGAGCACAAACUCAUCGCCCGCUACACCUCUCGACUGGCGGAGACUGACGGCACAGGAGUGAUACCUAACCGGAGCAUCAACUUUGAUGUGAACAAACAGAAGAGGGAGCUCAUUGCUCAACUGGAGUGCAAAAACAGAGAGAUCUUGGCAGAGAUCAAACGUCUCCGCACAGAACAUGACGCAGCGUGCCAGCCCAGCCCGGAGAAGGGCAGCACCAACCCAACUCUGCUGGCUGAGCUUCGCCUGCUCAGACAGAGGAAAGAUGAGCUGGAGCAGAGGAUGUCGUCUCUGCAAGAGAGCAGGAGGGAACUGAUGGUACAGCUGGAGGGACUGAUGAAGCUGCUCAAGGAUGAGGAACAACGACAGGCAGCGCAGGCGGCUGGCUCUUCUCACGCCUCUCCUUCUCGACCAAGUCCGUCAACCGUCCGCUCUGUAGGUGCUGUGUCUCCCCAGGCUCCUAUGUACCCUCCUCAAGACUCCCUUGCAGGGGUGGGUGGCGACGUACAAGAGGCCUUUGCUCAAGGCCCAAGAAGGAACCUGAGGAACGACCUUCUGGUAGCUGCAGACUCCAUCACCAACACUGUGUCCUCACUGGUCAAGGAGCUCCACUCUGAUGAUGGUCGGGAGGAAGAGGAGAGAUUGCUGAACGGGAAGGACAGAGGGUUUUUCUGAAAAUGUUGACAUGAAAGGUGGUAAGAACUGCAGGUUAAAAUGAUCGUAGGAGAAACAAAGGCAGCAGAGUGAUGUUUCAUCACGGCCAAAGAAGACUGACCCUGCAGGGAUUAAAGUGUAUCUACUUAUAUUCAUCGUUAGCCAAUGGGGAUUAGAGCUCCACUGCCAAUCAACCAAUCACGAUGCUGGACACCAAAUGACACCCCCCCCCCCCAAAGGGUCCCUACUGAUGUAUAGCUGUGAUUCUGCGUGUGUCUUGUCACUGUGGUUUUACUUUUUGUUUUGAUUUGAUCGUGCAUAGCUAAACGAGGAAUCUGCAACCUACUGAUUUGUACUGUAGCGCGUGUGUGUGUGUGUGUGUGUGUGUGUGUGUGUGUGUGUGUGUGUGUGUGUGUGUGUGUGUGUGUGUGUGUGUGUCGAGGAGAGAGUGUGAAUAUAAAACCAUUUGCUUCAACAGGGUCGGUGCAGCAAUAGAGUAGCAAAGCUCGUGGAGAAGUGGGCUUUGUAAAUUUCUAUCCACCUUUUUAAAAGUACUCCUUUUAAAAGGUCAGUUCACACAAAUUUAAACCUUUUUUUUUUUUUUUUCUCACUUACCUCUGGUAAAGUGUUUCUCAAACCUUAAGGGAAUUAGGAGGAAAGAAAAUUGUCCAUUUUUCCUGAUUUCUCUCUUUUUCUCUAUUUUUCUUGUAAAAUAUUGGACUUGGAGAUGAAUAGCAUUUUGUUUGUGUCUUGAAAACAUGACAUUUAAAAAUAAAACAAAAACAAAAAAAGAACAACUGAGCAGCAACAUCCCUUCGUAGAAACAAUCCUCGUUACUCUGGAUAAUCCACAGAACACAUGGAACACUUUUCUCUGGAGCUACUUUUUAUCGAAUAAAUAGUCCCCGGGAAAACUGUUUUUCCCGGGGACUACAAAAAUGUUUGUAGCGUAAUUUGUGUGAACUGAUCCUUUUAAUGAUUACUCAGUGUUUUUCCCCCAGCAACUACAUGGGAGUCUCCUGCAUAAUUUAAUUUUAUUGCAGCCUCACGUCCGUACGAUCAGAUGUAAAUAUUUUAACGCUGAUUCUGAAAAAUCACAUUUUCAAUUGGAAAUAAAGAUGAAUAAGUAAUAAGGAGCUUAAAUGCUACGAUACCCAUGAGUCUCAGUGGCCAAGACAGUAAUCGGAGACAAAUCAGAGCCGUAGCCGAGUCAAAACACUUUGCUUUCUUUAAUCAGGAAAACAAAACUCAGUGCUGUUGCUGCUGAAUUGUUUUUCCAAAAAUCGACCAAAUAUCUGAAAGUGAGUUAAUUUCAUCAUAUAAGAAUCAGAAUUAAACAGAAUUAAAACAUUUUUUUUAUUUUUUUAGCAAUGCCCCGUGGGAGUUGUAGUUUACUCUUACUCCACAUGUUUUCAUGUACAGAAUUUUUCUUGAAGUCUUUGUUGCUCGUACUGUGAACUGUCGAUUCAACCGGCAGAAUUCUGGGGCCCAUUCAAGCCACGGAGGGGCUCCAACUGCCUGUCAACUAACCAAAGUAACUCCAAAAAAAAGUUAGAAUUUUGCUUUCUAAACACUUGCCCGCCCAAAAUGAACUCCCCACACUUGGCUACUCUAUGCGGCCUUCCGAGCUCCCUGUAAGAGGCAUUCGCGGCUGCGGAAGUUGAAGUUAUCUGUGCGAUGUCAAACUACACCCAGCGCCCCAAAAAUCUCCAGACUGAUCUCUUUUAUGCAAAUCCAGCAUGACCCAAAGUGAUUUACUGAGCUUGAGUCAGGUCAGGUGAAUUUUAUUUUUCGUCUAACCGCUGUGAGAGCUUUCCCAACACAUUUCAGCUUGCCAGGUUUUGGUUUGUGGUCAUAGGAAGUUGUCAUGUACAUUUCCGGAUUAGUUUUCAGUUGGAGAGUUUUUUUUGUUUGUUCGUUUUUGUUUAUUUGUCUGUUUGUUUUAUUUCACCAGCCCUCCACUACGCUUGACAGACUGCUUGUGGCCGGGAUUAUCACAUUUUUCAGCCCGCUGACUGACUGACUUACUAUACGAGCGACUUAAUAAAUGAAUGAGCUCAUGUUUCGGCUUGUAAGUGUGAACGAGGGCGCGAGAAGAAAUCGAGACUGACGGGACAGACGCGUCCUGACACGAAACUGUAAACACAUUCAGCUUCGAACCUGCUGGAGCUGACGAGAGUGAGUGACUGAAAAGUGUUUCAUCUGCAAUAAAUAAUAUUUAACAUCCA